rnacentral:lncRNA from 1 species
UGAGCCCAGCAUGGUGGCAUAUGCCUGUAAUCCCAGAAAUCUGGGAGGCUGAGGCGGGAGGAUAGAAGUUCAAACCCAGCCUGGACAGCAUAACAAGACCCUGUCUCAAAAUUGAAAGAAUAAAAAAGGCUGGAGAUGCAGGCCCUGGGUUAAAUUCCUAGGACUGAUAAAAAAAAAUACCCUUGUCCCAUGGCCUCCCAGGCUCCCUUAACCCAUAGCUCGCUCAUAGACUUUCUCUGGUACAUUCUCUCCCCAGUCUCUGCUUCCACACUGAGAGGCAGCUACCAUCACCUCACUUUACAGACGAAGACAUCGGACCCUCAAGCUUCUGGCUGGGAGCAUGGGGGCUCAGCUAGACCAGAUGGUGAUUUCAAUCCUCAUUCACAUGGGAAGGUCAAGACCUGA